rnacentral:rRNA from 1 species
CCUACGUGUGGCUGCAGUGGGGCAUAUUGGGCAAUGGGCGCAAGCCUGACCCAGCAACGCCGCGUGAAUGAAGAAGGCUUUCGGGUUGUAAACUUCUUUUAAGAGGGAAGAGCAGAAGACGGUACCUCUUGAAUAAGCUACGGCUAACUACGUGCCAGCAGCCGCGGUAAUACGUAGGUGGCAAGCGUUGUCCGGAAUUACUGGGUGUAAAGGGCGUGUAGCCGGGCUGACAAGUCAGAUGUGAAAGCCCGUGGCUCAACCACGGAACUGCAUUUGAAACUGUCGGUCUUGAGUAUCGGAGAGGAAGGCGGAAUUCCUAGUGUAGCGGUGAAAUGCGUAGAUAUUAGGAGGAACACCAGUGGCGAAGGCGGCCUGCUGGACGACAACUGACGGUGAGGCGCGAAAGCGUGGGGAGCAAACAGGAUUAGAUACCCCAGUAGUC